rnacentral:lncRNA from 1 species
AUGCUCUAUACUCAUUUUAACAUGGGUAGGCAUUAUAUUUGUUAAUAUCUUAAUACCGAGCGUUAAUAUCUUAAUACAGAGCGUUACAAAUAUAAUGCCUACCCAUGCUAAAAUGAGCAUAGAGCAUGGCAUGAUAGAAUUAUUUCGAUUCUAAUAGGAAUAUUUUUAACUUUUGUACUUCGAAGCGGACCUAUAGUAGACGCUCGAAAUGUCGCC